CCUACGGGAGGCAGCAGUGAGGAAUAUUGGUCAAUGGACGAGAGUCUGAACCAGCCAAGUAGCGUGAAGGAUGACUGCCCUACGGGUUGUAAACUUCUUUUAUAUGGGAAUAAAAUGUUCCACGUGUGGGAUUUUGUAUGUACCAUAUGAAUAAGGAUCGGCUAACUCCGUGCCAGCAGCCGCGGUAAUACGGAGGAUCCGAGCGUUAUCCGGAUUUAUUGGGUUUAAAGGGAGCGUAGGUGGAUUGUUAAGUCAGUUGUGAAAGUUUGCGGCUCAACCGUAAAAUUGCAGUUGAUACUGGCAGUCUUGAGUACAGUAGAGGUGGGCGGAAUUCGUGGUGUAGCGGUGAAAUGCUUAGAUAUCACGAAGAACUCCGAUUGCGAAGGCAGUUCACUGGACUGCAACUGACACUGAGGCUCGAAAGUGUGGGUAUCAAACAGGAUUAGAUACCCGUGUAGUC
rnacentral:rRNA from 1 species